AACAGGAUUAGAUACCCUGGUAGUCCAUGCCGUAAACGUUGGGCACUAGGUGUGGGGCGGGUUCCACUCGUUCUGUGCCGUAGCUAACGCAUUAAGUGCCCCGCCUGGGGAGUACGGCCGCAAGGCUAAAACUCAAAGGAAUUGACGGGGGCCCGCACAAGCGGCGGAGCAUGCGGAUUAAUUCGAUGCAACGCGAAGAACCUUACCAAGGCUUGACAUGUACGAGAACGCGUUAGAGAUAACGAACUCUUUGGACACUCGUACACAGGUGGUGCAUGGUUGUCGUCAGCUCGUGUCGUGAGAUGUUGGGUUAAGUCCCGCAACGAGCGCAACCCUUAUCCUAUGUUGCCAGCGGGUUAUGCCGGGGACUCAUGGGAGACUGCCGGGGUCAACUCGGAGGAAGGUGGGGAUGACGUCAAAUCAUCAUGCCCCUUAUGUCUUGGGCUUCACGCAUGCUACAAUGGCCGGUACAGAGGGCUGCGAUACCGUGAGGUGGAGCGAAUCCCAAAAAGCCGGUCUCAGUUCGGAUCGGGGUCUGCAACUCGACCCCGUGAAGUCGGAGUCGCUAGUAAUCGCAGAUCAGCAACACUGCGGUGAAUACGUUCCCGGGCCUUGUACACACCGCCCGUCAAGUCACGAAAGUUGGUAACACCCGAAGCUCACGGCCCAACCCGUAAGGGAGGGAGUGGUCGAAGGUGGGACUGGCGAUUGGGACUAAGUCGUAACAAGGUAACC
rnacentral:rRNA from 1 species